UAGGGAAUCUUCCGCAAUGGACGAAAGUCUGACGGAGCAACGCCGCGUGAGUGAAGAAGGAUUUCGGUUCGUAAAACUCUGUUGUUAGGGAAGAAAAAAUGUAUAGUAACUAUAUACAAAAGAGACGGUACCUAACCAGAAAGCCACGGCUAACUACGUGCCAGCAGCCGCGGUAAUACGCAGGUGGCAAGCGUUGUCCGGAAUUAUUGGGCGUAAAGCGCGCGCAGGUGGUUUAGAAAGUCUGAUGUGAAAGCCCACGGCUCAACCGUGGAGGGUCAUUGGAAACUAAUAAACUUGAGUGCAGGAGAGAAAAGUGGAAUUCCUAGUGUAGCGGUGAAAUGCGUAGAGAUUAGGAGGAACACCGGUGGCGAAAGCGGCUUUUUGGCCUGCAACUGACACUGAGGCGCGAAAGCGUGGGGAGCAAACAGG
rnacentral:rRNA from 1 species